AGGACGAACGCUGGCGGCGUGCCUAAUACAUGCAAGUCGAACGGUCUUUCUAUGGAAGCUUGCUUCCACUGAAAAGAUAGUGGGCGAACGGGUGAGUAACACGUGGGGUAACCUGCCCAUAAGAGGGGGGAUAACAUCCGGAAACGGGUGCUAAUACCGCAUAGUUUCUUGAUCGCAUGAUCGGGAAAGGAAAGACGGCCUUUGUGCUGUCGCUUAUGGAUGGACCCGCGGCGUAUUAGUUAGUUGGUGAGGUAACGGCUCACCAAGACGAUGAUACGUAGCCGACCUGAGAGGGUGAUCGGCCACAUUGGGACUGAGACACGGCCCAAACUCCUACGGGAGGCAGCAGUAGGGAAUCUUCCGCAAUGGACGAAAGUCUGACGGAGCAACGCCGCGUGAGUGAAGAAAAGGUUUUCGGAUCGUAAAACUCUGUUGUCAGAGAAGAACAAGUUGGAGAGUAACUGCUCCAGCCUUGACGGUAUCUGACCAGAAAGCCACGGCUAACUACGUGCCAGCCGCUGC
rnacentral:rRNA from 1 species